UUCGCAAUGCCCGAAAGGGUGACGGAGCGACGCCGCGUGGAGGAUGAAGGCCCUCGGGUUGUAAACUCCUGUCAGGUGGGAAGAAAAGUAUUUGGCUGAAUAACCCCGAUACCUGACGUUACCACCAGAGGAAGCACCAGCAAACUUCGUGCCAGCAGCUGCGGUAAUACGAAGGGUGCGAGCGUUGUUCGGAAUCACUGGGCUUAAAGGGCACGUAGGCGGAGGGAUAAAUCAGAAGUGAAAGCCCGGCGCUCAACGUCGGAAUUGCUUUUGAAAAUGUCUUUCUCGAGUGCAGGAGGGGAGAGCGAAACUCUUGGUGGAGCGGUGAACUGCGUAGAUAUCAAGGGGAACGCCAGCGGCGAAAGCGGCUCUCUGGCCUGCUACUGACGCUGAGUGUGCGAAAGCUAGGGGAGCAAAGAGGAUUAGAUACCCUUGUAGUCCUAGCCGUAAACGAUGGGCACUAAGUAGAGGGGUUUU
rnacentral:rRNA from 1 species